rnacentral:rRNA from 1 species
AUGGAGAGACUUGUUAAUGUUCAUUACAUUGACAAGGAGGCAUUCUUGAGUAAUAAUGCCGACACGGGUGAGGAACUAUUGGUUUUUGAUACAAGCCCUAGCUAUGAGGAUGUUGUUGCAAAAGUGAGACAAGUCUUGAAGUGGAUGGAAACCAAUGUUGAUGUUAAGUUAAUAGGAAGGUAUGAUGUUGGAGUUGGAGCCAAAUCUCGCUUGAAAAGUAUGCCUAUCACCUCGGAUUUGCAUUGGGAUGUAUACAAGGAAAAAGUAUCCCAAUCGGAAGACAAGUCACUUGAAUUGUUUGCCACCAAGGUUGAAUCUCCUCGGUUUACCUUUGAUUUGAACCGGCAUGUCUCUUCCCCAAUGGAUGCAAAUGAGGUUGAGUUGUAUGCCCCCAAUGCUUCUAGCCAACCACCAACUAGCCAA